rnacentral:ncRNA from 2 species
CCCCACAUGUAUGCUCAGGGCUGCUGUCGUCGCAGGGGAAUCCGGUGCGAAUCCGGAACUGUCCCGCAACGGUGUGAAGUGCACCCCCAUCGUGCAUCCGCAAGUCCGAGGACCUGCCGACAGUGCGCCCGGCUC